rnacentral:tRNA from 1 species
GCCCGAGUGGCGGAAUGGUAGACGCAGCGGAUUCAAAAUCCGUCGCCGCAAGGCGUGCGAGUUCGAGUCUCGCCUCGGGCACCA